AUUGCUUCUCGGCCUUUUGGCUAAGAUCAAGUGUAGUAUUAUAUCAUGUCAUGAGUUAUAGUGUUUGUGGCUUGGUGUAAGGACCCAAACACCACUUACAAUAUUUCUGUAGGAAAAUUAAGAGUGUAGAACCCAG
ensembl:snRNA U2 U2 spliceosomal RNA